CAGGAGGCUGAGGCAGGAGGAUCGUAAGUUGUAGGGCAGCCUCUGGAAUGGAGCGAGGCCCCAAGUAACUUAGCGAGACUCUGUCUCUAAAUAAAAAACUACAAAAGGGGCUGUGGAUGGAGCUCAGGGGUUCAGCACCCCUGGUUGCUACCUGUAGUACCCCCUGCCCCCCAAAUAACUGAAAUGUGGGGUUCUGAGGCGGUGCAAACUACCGAUUCUCCAGUGUUUGCGGGGGACUGGACAGGUGAUAAAACUCUUUAAAUUUGCAAAUAGAAAAUUAGUUCUGUCCACUGAGAAAAAAAUAUCUGUUCCUUUUUAUGAGCAGCUUAGCAUCCAGACAGGGUCUCCCUCAGUUGCUGAGGCUGGCCUCCAACUUGCAAUCCUCCUGCCUCAGCCCACCAAGCCCACCAAGGGCAGGCAAGGCGGAACUUUGUAUUUGUUUGGGCAACAGGAAAGAGGUGGAUCUCCCCUGCCUCACUGGAGAGCAAUAUGUUCAUUUUUCAUUGUCUGGAGAGGAACCAGGGGGUAUUUCCCCCUUAUCCCAUAGGUGCCUCCUUCCUAAUUGGUAUUUUGAAAACUGAGGCUCCAACAGAAUUUGUCCUAAGGUUUGUUUCCGUGAAUGACAUUCAGGAGGCGGGGCAGGGGCUGCGUUGACACCGCACUGGGCACACAGUGUGCAGACAGUUUUCCCGCCUUUGCCCACAGGACCAGCAGGGAGCUUUGAUUGACAGAUGUGAGGGAAUCGGGUGCAUGCACCUUCCGGGGUCCCCCUUGCAGACACGGAGAUAUUUGCAGGUGGUUUCAAAGGCUGUCCCUGAUUGCCGGGGUUCCCUGGUCAGGAAGCUUUCGGUCUUGGAGGUUUGGGGUCCCCAGGAGCUCAGAGCAUUGCAGAAUCCUUCCCUUCGGUGGCUUUAAAGAUGGGCGGGGUGCUCCUCUCUGCAGAAGAAGGCAGCCAGCAUGGGAGGUGGGUUUGCAUUCAAGAUUUCCACCAGCAAAUUGUUGGCCGUGAAUCAACUUCAGCACCGCAAGAUCCUCUGGGCCUGGGGAACACCGAGGUCAUGCAGGAUCUGGGGCAGACCUGCUGAGGAACUGCCCCUUGCCAAUGUGCCCAUGAGAUCAGGCCUCUAAGAGAAGUGGAGAAAGAAUUGGAAUUUCCUGAAUGGAUUUUGUAAAGAGUAGGAAGGUGGCGGGUCACAGAAGGGACAGUUUGCUCCAUGCUCAUAUGCAAAACCUGAGAUGUAUACUCUUCUCCACAGCAAAGGAGAGAAUAGAUCCAAAUGCAAGACACUGACGGUUCUGUGUUUUCCAAGAUAUUAUGACCUAUACAGGUUUAGGACUUUUAUGCCGUGGUGCCGCGUUU
rnacentral:lncRNA from 1 species